CAGUUAUCGUUUAUUUGAUAGUACUUUUCUACUUGGAUACCUGUGGUAAUUCUAGAGCUAAUACAUGCCAAAAACCUCGACUUCGGAAGGGGUGUAUUUAUUAGAUAAAAAACCAAUGCCCUUCGGGGCUCCUUGGUGAUUCAUAAUAACUUAACGAAUCGCAUGGCCUUGCGCCGGCGAUGGUUCAUUCAAAUUUCUGCCCUAUCAACUUUCGAUGGUAGGAUAGUGGCCUACCAUGGUUUCUACGGGUAACGGGGAAUUAGGUAGGCUUCAAAUUAUUCUUUUCGUACCGCGACACCCGGCUAAUUAUUUUUCUAGGGUUCGACUCCGGAGAGGGAGCCUGAGAAACGGCUACCACAUCCAAGGAAGGCAGCAGGCGCGCAAAUUACCCAAUCCCGACACGGGGAGGUAGUGACAAUAAAUACUGAUACAGGGCUCUUUUGGGUCUUGUAAUUGGAAUGAGUACAAUUUAAAUCCCUUAUCCAAUCGUUAGGGGAUCGCGAGCAGUCACUUUUUAGUGGCCACGCCCUUCUCGUUCGGGGAGUCUGGAGUAGUUUCCGGCAACUCGAGGCCCGCUUCCGCGGGUUCAGAGACUACGCGAGGGCGGGUAGAGCCUUGAAAGCUCACUAAAGAUAUAGUCCAACCCCGUGGCUUAGUCGCAGGUAUACGUGUAACGAGGAACNNNUGGAGGGCAAGUCUGGUGGACACUUGAGUGUUUCAGGUAGUGAUAUAAUGUAUUAUAUCAGCUGCUGACGCCAGUCACUGGUCGAUCUCUCGCGAGCCGCUAGAGACCCGACCCAGUAGGUUCAAGCCUGCGAGGUACUUGGCACGGGGAAGAGCCUCUCGAAGGCUUCAUCCCGUGGUUUGGGUGUACAGCCCACUCCUUAACGCGCGCAAGGGUGCCGGUGGGCCCUUAGGUCCACUUAAGGUACGUGCUUUGACCCGGCCUGAAGAGGUCAGCGAUGCUCUCCUCAGGGUAUCACGGAGGGAUAUUCGGCCAGCAGCCGCGGUAAUUCCAGCUCCAAUAGCGUAUAUUAAAGUUGUUGCAGNNNNNNNNNUCGUAGUUGAAACUUGGCCCUGGCUGACCGGUCCGCCUCACCGCGUGCACUGGUUCGGCCGGGGCUUUCCUUCUGGGGAUCCGCAUGGCCUUCAUUGGUCGUGUUGGGGAACCAGGACUUUUACUUUGAAAAAAUUAGAGUGUUCAAAGCAGGCCUAUGCUCGAAUACAUUAGCAUGGAAUAAUAGAAUAGGACGUGUGGUUCUAUUUUGUUGGUUUCUAGGACCGCCGUAAUGAUUAAUAGGGACAGUCGGGGGCAUCAGUAUUCAAUUGUCAGAGGUGAAAUUCUUGGAUUUAUUGAAGACUAACUACUGCGAAAGCAUUUGCCAAGGAUGUUUUCAUUAAUCAGUGAACGAAAGUUAGGGGAUCGAAGACGAUCAGAUACCGUCGUAGUCUUAACCAUAAACUAUGCCGACUGGGGAUCGGACGGUGUUAUUAUUUUGACCCGUUCGGCACCCUACGAGAAAUCAAAGUCUUUGGGUUCUGGGGGGAGUAUGGUCGCAAGGCUGAAACUUAAAGACAUUGACGGAAGGGCACCACCAGGAGGUUCGAUGCCUGGUUACAACAACAGUGUUAACCCUCUAAUAAAAAACAUUAUCGGGGCGGUGAGGCCUUUGAAUUGCGUGGACUGCCCGGGCCGCUUCGGUCUGGUCGUACCCGCAGCCAUACCCUAUAGUGUAGGGUGUUGGUCCACAGAUCAAGUGGUGGCCGGUGGAUCUCUUCGGAUCUACUCAUGAUAUGGUCGGCCUCUAGGCUUACAGUCUAGGGAUCUAGUGCGUGGAGCCUGCGGCUUAAUUUGACUCAACACGGGGAAACUCACCAGGUCCAGACACUAUAAGGAUUGACAGAUUGAGAGCUCUUUCUUGAUUUAGUGGGUGGUGGUGCAUGGCCGUUCUUAGUUGGUGGAGUGAUUUGUCUGCUUAAUUGCGAUAACGAACGAGACCUUAACCUGCUAAAUAGCCAGGUCAGCUUUGGCUGGCCGCCGGCUUCUUAGAGGGACUAUCGGCUCAAGCCGAUGGAAGUUUGAGGCAAUAACAGGUCUGUGAUGCCCUUAGAUGCUCUGGGCCGCACGGUACGUAAAGCCCAUUUUAUACCCCGCCCUUCGAAUCCUUGCUAACUUUUUUUAUAGCGCGCUACACUGACAGAGGCAACGAGUAAUCCACCUUGGCCGGAAGGUCUGGGUAAUCUUGUUAAACUCUGUCGUGCUGGGGAUAGAGCAUUGCAAUUAUUGCUCUUCAACGAGGAAUGCCUAGUAAGCGCAAGUCAUCAGCUUGCGUUGAUUACGUCCCUGCCCUUUGUACACACCGCCCGUCGCUACUACCGAUUGAAAGGUUAAGUGAGGCCUUCGGACUGGCCCCAGGAGGUCGGCAACGACCACCCAGGGCCGGAAAGUUCGUCAAACUUGGUCUUUUAGAGGAAGUAAAAGUCGU
rnacentral:rRNA from 1 species